GGUUUUUUGUUUUAUAUAAAAAAUCUGGCCUGCUCAGUGAGUUUUAAAUAGCUGCAGUAUUUUGACUGUACAAAGGUAGCAUAAUCACUUGUCCUUUAAUUGAGGUCUGGAAUGAAUGGUUUGAUGAAAAAUAUACUUUAUUUAUUUUUAAGAAAAAAAUUAAUUUUUGAGUAAAAAAGCUUGAAAAUUUUUUUAUAGGACGAGAAGACCCUAUAGAGCUUUAUUUUAUUAUUUUUGUAUUAUAUUAGGUUAUAUAUUUUUAAUAAAAAUGGUGAAAUUUUGUUGGGGUGACAAAAAAAAUAUAAUAACUUUUUUUAAUUAUUGCAUUAAUUAAUGUAUUUUUGAUCCUUUUUUUGGAAAAAAGAAUAAGCUACCUUAGGGAUAACAGCGUUAUUAUUUUGGAGAGUUCAUAUCGAUGAAAUAGUUUGCGACCUCGAUGUUGGAUUAAAAUAAGAUAUAGAAGUAGAAUGUUAUAUUCUUGGUCUGUUCGACCUUUAAAUUUUUACAU
rnacentral:rRNA from 1 species